UGGGCCUUAGCGGUUCAGUGGG
rnacentral:miRNA from 12 species